GAGCUUAUCAGAGCUUGCAGGGCAGCAGUUGAAGAAGGAGCAGAAAGGGUCUUCUUGUGUGUGUGUGUUUCUUUGUGGCUGAUUAGCUGCUCUCCCUGUGCAAAGGUCAGAGGGGGCAGGGUUUCUGUUGAGGCAGGUGGUUAGCUGUGGGAGGAGCUUAUCAGAGCUUGCAGGGCAGCGGCGGCGCAGUUUGAUCCAUCUUUUAGAUUUAGGGGAGCUAGUCUCAAACAUUUGUUGGGGGAGACCUAGGUUUUUUUGGGGGGGAGUUAUUUGUCCUGUCUUCACGCUUUUUAUGAUGGAGGACCGCUGUAGCCACCCCCAACGACACAUUCUCAAGAUGGAGGGGGAGGGAACAGCUGCAGUCGCCUGCGGUUCCUGCGCAAUGUUUGCCAUCUUGCCAAAGGUUGCAGGCAGCUUUACCUGCAGCAAUUGCAUGUUGAUUGCCCUCUUAGAAGACAAAGUCCAGCAACUGGAGGAACGUGUAGCUACGCUCCAAAGAAUUAGAGAGCUGGAGCUCUUCUUGGAAGCAACAGAGCACACCGUCUCCACCAAGGAGGAGACAGGGGACUCCCUGAGAAGGAGGCUAGUUCACCAACACAGGAGCCAGAUAUAUGGAGAAACGUGACUCAAAGAAGUAGGAGGCCCAGGGUUCACUCUGAUUGUUUAGAAAUACACAAUCGCUUUGAGGUCCUCUCCCCUAGCAUGGAAGACGAAGAGCAGACUCCAUUUGAGGAUCUCUCCCUCAUUACAGUCGAUCAGGUAUAUGAAGACGAGCAGCAAAGUCAGUCCUCAGGGAGUGUGCAGGCGACCUUGGAACGGACAGCUCACGGAAGAACCCCGACCAAACCUAAGAGGAGGCGUGUAGUGGUGAUAGGGGAUUCCCUACUGAGGGGAACAGAAGCAGUGAUCUGUGGGCCUGACAAGAUGUCUCAGGAAGUGUGCUGUCUCCCGGGGCUAAGAUCCAAGAUGUAACUGAAUGACUGCAAGGAAUCAUAAAACCCACUGACAAAUACUCCUUCCUCUUGGUUCAUGUGGGAACCAAUGACACUGCAAGCAAUAGCCUCCAGAAGAUCAAAAGAGACUACGAGGCUCUGGGCAGGAAGUUGAAGCAAUUAAAUGCACAAAUUGUCAUCUCAUCUGUCCUCCCAGUUGAACGACGUGGCCCAGGGAGAGAGGGGAAAAUAGUGGAAGUGAACAGCUGGCUUCGCAAAUGGUGUAAAUAGGAACGGUUUGGAUUCUUAGAUCACGGACUGCAGUUUCUUGAAGAUGGACUUCUGGCAAGCGAUGGGCUGCACCUCACAAUGGUUGGGAGGAAUGUUUUUGCCAAAAAUCUCAGAAACCUCAUCAGGAGGGCUUUAAACUGACGAAUGUGGGGGAGGGAGACAGUGCUCCUGAAGGUAGGAGUCUAUCAAUUGAUGAAGAUGAUCAUCCAUAUGUCAUAGACCAAAUGGAGCAAACAGCAUGCAGACCUAGUGGUGGGAGGAAAAAAUCAUUAAAUAAGAGACACGGGGGAAUGAUUAAUGGACUUCAAUGUCUGUACACUAACGCGCAAAGCAUGUGAAAUAAACAAGAUGAGCUUGAGCUUUUGGUACAGCAAACUAAAUAUGACAUAAUAGGCAUCACUGAAACCUGGUGGGAUAAGUCCCACGAUUGGAAUGUAAUAAUGGAGGGAUACAAUCUAUUUCAGAGAAACAGACCAGACAAGAAAGGAGGAGGAGUGGCGUUAUAUGUCAGGGAUUUGUAUACCUGUGAAGAGAUCCAAGAUUUAGAACCUCAAAGCCAAAGUGAGAGCAUUUGGGUAAAAAUUAAGGGAGAGAAGAAUAACAGUGACCUCAUUGUGGGAGUUUACUAUAGAUCCCCAAGCCAAACGGAGGACAUAGAUGAUGCCUUCCUGGAACAGAUGGCCAAGCAUGCAAAAGGAAGGGAGAUAGUAGUAAUGGGGGACUUCAAUUAGCUGGAUAUUUGUUGGAUGUCAAACUCAGCCAAGAGCAUAAGGUCAAACAGAUUCCUCACUGGCCUUGCAGACAACUUCAUUGUCCAGAAAGUGGGAGAAGCAACAAGAGGAACAGCCAUUUUAGAUCUGGUCCUAACCAAUGUUGAUGACCUGGUUAGUGGGGUAGAAGUGGAAGGAUCAUUAGGCGCGAGUGAUCAUGCUCUUCUGAAGUUUACUAUACAGCGGAAAGGAGCAGCCAAGCAUACUAGGACUCAAUUUCUUGACUUUAAGAAAGCCGACUUCAUAAAACUUAGGGAAGUGCUGGGUGAGAUCCCAUGGACAGUAAUACUAAAAGGAAAGGGAGUUCAUGAUGGCUGGGAGUUUGUUAAGAGGGAGAUAGUAAAAGCACAACUUCAGGCAAUACCAAUGAGACGGAAACAUGGAAAGUGCCUAAAGAAGCCAGGGUGGCUAUCUAAAGAACUUUUAACUGAGUUAAGAUU